GAGACCACGUUCCCGUAACUUUUAUUACAAUGGCUGAGGAAAAUCUGUGUCGAUGGCACCUUUAUUUUGUACGUUAAGGCUCUGAGAACAGUGGCUUCCUGAGAUUGACUCGGAGCCGGUUUUGAUUGAUUGGUCUCACCAGCACCCCAGACUGUGCCCGCAGAUAAGAAGCCCACUGGGAGGAGAUAUCAGGGAAGACAAGAAUUCAUGGAAUUGUCAAAAAACUGGAUUAAGAAAAUUCCCAUCUCUGCCCAUGACUUUAUCUGUGAUUGACAUAACAGCCUCUUUAAAGCAACAUUAUCAUCAACUUAUUUGGAAAAAUGGAAGGAAGUUGAAUAGUCUACACAGUUUGGAUAAAAGAAGAACAAACUUGUCAUACUAUCUGAUUUCAAGACUUAACUAUAAAGCUGUGGUGUUCAAGAGUGGACAUUCUCGUGGCCUAACACCUUCCUAAAGCAGAGAUGCAUAAAUCAGUGGAAGAAACUAAAGGCUAAGAAGAUCCCACAACAUCAAUCCGAUUCAACCAAGGCG